rnacentral:rRNA from 1 species
GAUGAACGCUAGCGGCAGGCUUAACACAUGCAAGUCGAGGGGUAUAGUUAGCUUGCUAAUUAGAGACCGGCGCACGGGUGCGUAACGCGUAUGCAAUCUACCUUUCACAGAGGGAUAGCCCAGAGAAAUUUGGAUUAAUACCUCAUAGUAUAAUGAGUUGGCAUCAACCCAUUAUUAAAGUCACAACGGUGAAAGAUGAGCAUGCGUCCCAUUAGCUAGUUGGUAUGGUAACGGCAUACCAAGGCAACGAUGGGUAGGGGUCCUGAGAGGGAGAUCCCCCACACUGGUACUGAGACACGGACCAGACUCCUACGGGAGGCAGCAGUGAGGAAUAUUGGACAAUGGGCGCAAGCCUGAUCCAGCCAUGCCGCGUGCAGGAUGACGGUCCUAUGGAUUGUAAACUGCUUUUGCACAGGAAGAAACAACAUUACGUGUAAUGUCUUGACGGUACUGUGAGAAUAAGGAUCGGCUAACUCCGUGCCAGCCGCCGCCGUAACAC